rnacentral:lncRNA from 1 species
UAAUUCUUAAUGUUUUAUACUAAUCAACCGUGACUAUAUCCCUUCUGUUUCAGAGUGACAUUCACAACCACUUAAAGGUGCAAUAUCUAACCCUGACCCAUCCUGUCCACUCGUUUGGCUCCCAUUCUGGCACUGCUCCCCGCCGCUUCGAGCUCCCAGUCCGGACUGCUAGCUGCGCAGCUAAAGGUGCUAACUGGCUAACGGCAGCGAGAGCUGAAUUUAAACUGUGCCUUUUUUCUCCUGCGACAGCACCCAAAAGGAUGAAAUUAAUGUGUUUUGGUUUCCUGGUUGCACCUCAGGCUGAACAACGCGCAAACAAAUCAUCAUUUUCCCAGGAAAAUAUGAAGACAGUGAUGUGAUUUUUGCUUUGCAUCUGGACUAACAACACAUGUUCCCUUACAAUUUUUAUAAUAUUUGGAUUUCUUGUUGAGCCCCUGGUUGCACCUCUUAUCUUUGCAUAAACAUUUUCUGAAUAUUAUUAGGUCUCCCUCUACAUGACUGUAGUUUGUUUUCAUAUCGUCAAUAAAACAUUGAGAGAGCUGAAUAAGAGAUGAAAUGAGACCAGAGAUGAGGGGAAAACACCAUCAAAGGAAGACGACUGGAGUUUUUAAGCUCUAAAAAAGCAAGUAAGAGGACCUUCUGAUCUUCUUUUUUUUUUUUACACUGUUCCCAAACAUCAAGAAUAAACUUCCGUGCUCAGAAACCAGAGGAGGUUUUGUUAUUCCAGACAUGUCAUGGAUGUUUUUACUUUGAUGUCUGAGAUUUGUUGGGCCCUACAUGGUCUGUUUCCAGAUAUAACAGACAGAAUUCAGUUUGGAUGAGAAGGACACAGCCAUUUUUGCUCUAUUUUAGGCAUUUUGUGAAUGUGACUGAAUAUCUGAUUUGCAUGAAUGACUGGACUGGACUGGAUUUCCUGGACAGCAACAAUUUUCCACAGCACAUUACCCUUCACUUAAACAUCAAAGUUGGAAGUUAGUCCAGCUGUUAAUUUGCCGCUGUUGAACGAGGACAUGGAUCAGGAGAUGACAAGACUAAUUGAGAUUGAACUUGACCUGUAAGAUAGGUGUUUAUUUUAUU